GGUUGUAGCUCAGUGGUAGAGUGCUUGCUUUGCAUGCAUGAGGCCCUGGGUUUGAUCCUCAGCACCA
rnacentral:tRNA from 1 species